GACGAACGCUGGCGGCGUGCUUAACACAUGCAAGUCGAACGGAAAGGCCCUGCUUGCCGGGUACUCGAGUGGCGAACGGGUGAGUAACACGUGGGUGAUCUGCCCUGCACUUCGGGAUAAGCCUGGGAAACUGGGUCUAAUACCGGAUAGGAGCCAUUUUUAGUGUGAUGGUUGGAAAGUUUUUUCGGUGUAGGAUGAGCUCGCGGCCUAUCGGCUGGUUGGUGGGGUAAUGGCCUACCAAGGCGGCGACGGGUAGCCGGCCUGAGAGGGUGGACGGCCACAUUGGGACUGAGAGACGGCCCAGACUCCUACGGGAGGCAGAAGUGGGGAAUAUUGCACAAUGGGCGCAAGCCUGAUGCAGCGACGCCGCGUGGGGGAUGACGGCCUUCGGGUUGUAAAAACCUUUCGCUAGGGACGAAGCUUUUUGUGACGGUACCUAGAGAAGAAGCACCGGCUAACUACGUG
rnacentral:rRNA from 1 species